UAGCUCAAUUGGUAGAGCAUGGUGUUUGCAACACCAGGGUUGUGGGUUCAAUUCCCAC
rnacentral:tRNA from 1 species